rnacentral:misc_RNA from 1 species
UUGCGAGCACCCACGUUUCAGAG